rnacentral:rRNA from 1 species
UACGUAGGGCGCAAGCGUUGUCCGGAAUUAUUGGGCGUAAAGAGCUCGUAGGCGGCUUGUCACGUCGGAUGUGAAAGCCCGGGGCUUAACCCCGGGUCUGCAUUCGAUACGGGCUAGCUAGAGUGUGGUAGGGGAGAUCGGAAUUCCUGGUGUAGCGGUGAAAUGCGCAGAUAUCAGGAGGAACACCGAUGGCGAAGGCAGGUCUCUGGGCCAUUACUGACACUGAGAAGCGAAAGCAUGGGGAGCGAACAGG